AACGAACGCUGGCGGCAGGCUUAACACAUGCAAGUCGAACGCCCCGCAAGGGGAGUGGCAGACGGGUGAGUAACGCGUGGGAAUCUACCCAGUUCUACGGAACAACAGUUGGAAACGACUGCUAAUACCGUAUACGCCCUACGGGGGAAAGAUUUAUCGGAAUUGGAUGAGCCCGCGUAAGAUUAGCUAGUUGGUGGGGUAAUGGCCUACCAAGGCGACGAUCUUUAGCUGGUCUGAGAGGAUGAUCAGCCACACUGGGACUGAGACACGGCCCAGACUCCUACGGGAGGCAGCAGUGGGGAAUAUUGGACAAUGGGCGCAAGCCUGAUCCAGCCAUGCCGCGUGAGUGAUGAGGGCCUUAGGGUUGUAAAGCUCUUUCACCGAUGAAGAUAAUGACGGUAGUCGGAGAAGAAGCCCCGGCUAACUUCGUGCCAGCCGCCGCCGUAACAC
rnacentral:rRNA from 1 species